rnacentral:rRNA from 1 species
UACGUAGGGGGCAAGCGUUGUCCGGAAUUAUUGGGCGUAAAGAGCGUGUAGGCGGUCCGGUAAGUCAGCUGUGAAAGUCAAGGGCUCAACCCUUGAAAGCCGGUUGAUACUGUCGGGCUAGAGUCCGGAAGAGGCGAGUGGAAUUCCCGGUGUAGCGGUGAAAUGCGCAGAUAUCGGGAGGAACACCAAUGGCGAAGGCAGCUCGCUGGGACGUUACUGACACUGAGGCGCGAAAGCGUGGGGAGCGAACAGG